rnacentral:lncRNA from 1 species
ACUUCUAUCACUUCUCUUCAUAUUGAAGGGAUUCGCAAUGUGAGGGAGCUUCCUGAUGGGUUUCUGCAAAAUCAUACCCUCCUUGAAAGCUUAGACAUUUGGGGGAUGCGAGAUCUGGAGUCUUUGUCAAAUAGGGUAUUAGAUAACCUUUCUGCUCUUAAAAGCUUGGAGAUUUUUUAUUGCGGGAAACUUGAAAGCUUGCCAGAGGAAGGUCUUCGUAACCUCAAUUCCUUGGAGGUUUUAGAGAUACGGUGGUGUAGAAGAUUAAAUUGUCUGCCAAGGGAUGGGCUGUGUGGCUUAUCUUCUCUUCGCAAGUUAUCUAUUGGAAGUUGUGAUAAAUUCACAUCCCUAACUGAGGGAGUGCGGCAUCUGACGGCACUUGAGGAUUUGAGGCUUGCUGGAUGUCCAGAGCUGAAUUCAUUGCCAGAGAGUAUCCAACAUCUCACUUCUCUCCAAUCUCUAACCAUUGUGGAGUGUCCAAAUUUGAAGAAAAGGUGUGAGAAAGAUUUAGGAGAGGACUGGCCUAAGAUAACUCACAUUCCUAAGAUUAUAAUCGAUUUCAUUAGAAUCAAUUAAAAUUGAUAUGCAAAAUUUGUAAUGAGAAUAAAAUAUAUAUUUUCGUAGUUUUAAUUUGUUGUAAUUGUUUAAAUAAUUUUCUCAAAUUGAUUGUUGUUUUAUUAUUCAUAUAAAUGUGUAAAAAUGAUUGGUUCAUUAUUUGUUUUAAUUGAAACUUGUUUUACUAGUACUGUAAUAAGUAGUUUGUUUGGUCCAAGAGAUAUAAUCCUUUUAGCCAAUUAAGUAAUUUUUUGUUACUUGAAAACAAAACUUGUAUAAGAAAAUCAAUUGUUGAGGUUUCUCAACUAAAAUAUCAAUCUCAUAAACAUCCUUUUAGCCUUUAUGAAGACGUUAUUAAUUGAAACUAAUAAUAUUUUGCGUGCUUUGACAUAAACAAAUAAGUAUUUAUCAGCAAACAAAAAAAAAACUCAACAGAUUUCAAAUUCAAAAUAAUAUUACAAUCCAAUUAACAAAAUCCCUUAACUUAAAUAAAGGGCACAUCACAUCAAAUCAAUAAUUGAAAAAAAAAAUAAUAAUAAUAAUUGAAAAAAACACCACAUUAAUUACAAUUACAUUACCAUAAGAAAAUUCAAGUUGAUAAAUGUUGUCUUCAAAUCACAGCCAUGUUCCUUCUCUGAAACUUCAAUUGCUUUAAUAGAGGCAUAGCUAGUCAAGUCUGCACUGUGUAGAGCCCAAUCAAUAUAGUCAGAGGACCGCAGUUUUAAUAUUUUAAUAUAAUUAAAACACCACAUUAAUUACAAUUACAUUACCAUAAGAAAAGUCAAGUUGAUGAAUGUUGUCUUCAAAUCAUAGCCAUGAUGCUUCUCUGAAACUUAGCUAGUCAAGUAUGCAGUGUCGAGGUAAAUCUAAAAAAUAAUUAUAAAUUAGUAAAAUAUCAAUUUGUCCCUUUAAUAAUAUCCAUAUCUUAAUUCAAGAAAAUUUUAGAAAUUAACUUAAUCAAGUACUUAUUUGAUUUUUUAAGGUCUAGAAAUAUAAUCCUUAUAUUAAUUAUAUUUUAAUCGUUAAUUUUUAAAAUAUAUUUUAAUUAAGUCAUACUUAAUUAAAUCAUCCCAAUUUAAUUCCUACCUAGAGAUUUUUAAUGUGUGUGACUUAUUAAGUUUCUAAUAUGUUGACCAAAUAUAAAUUAUAAUUAAAUUAAAUUAAAUUAAUUAAAUAAUUUAAUUUAUUAUCAAUUCAACAAUUGAUUAAUUUAUAUUUAAAAACAAGGUAUAUCGUCUAUCAACAUGUCAUGAUUUUCUAAAUAUUAGAAAGUCAAUAGUGGUUUGACUUAACCUUCUAGUGACUUGUUUCUCAGUGUAAUUAAUAUUCUUUCAUCAAUAAUGUUUUGAUUUAAUAUUAAAGCAUGAAGUAUGUUUAUCAUGUUAAAUCAUGUUUAUUCUCUAUAUAAUAGUCAUGAAUCGUUUAAAUAAGAUUUUCAAAUCUCAUUUCACCUUAAUUAAGAAUUUCUCAGUCAAUACUAUUUGAGAACAGAUAAAAAAUAUAUAUUUUUUAAUUCACUUAGGGUAAUGAAUCCUCUCUUUACAACUCAAGUAUCUUUUUAUUUUUUAAGAAUAGUGAAGUGACAGAAUUGUCUUUAAAAUAAAAAAAAAUAUAUAAAUAUGGUUCAAAAGGGGGGGUUUUGUUAUUUUUGUUAUUUUUUUAUUUUUAGGUUGACCUAGGGGCUGUUUGAUAAUUUUAAAAAAUAAAUACUAUAAAAAAACUAUUGGCACAUGCAACUCACGUGUUAGCACAUGCAGGGUCGUCCGGUGACCAAAAUCAACCAUCUACGAUGAUGUUUGGAGUGGCGCAUUGUCCUCUUCGUAUUCACGAGAUGUGUGUUAACGGUAGAGGUGCGAUUGGGCUCUAAUGAGCUUUUCUUUUCUUUUCCUCUCUUUUUCUUUCUCUUAACUUAGAGAUUCAUGUCAGCCAAUCUGAAAAUUGAUUGUGUCCUCUUGUUUCUAUUUCUAUUAAUUUUAGUUCUCAUUCUUUUGAUUACUAUUUGUUUUGCUUGUAAUACUUUUUGAAUUUUUUUUUAAAAUUUCACACCUAAACAUUUUGUUUCAUAUAGUUUUUAUAUUCAAUUUAGUCCUCAUUCUUUUGAUUGUUUUUUUUUUUGUGUUUUACCCUUUUAUUGUUUUUUUUUUCAAUUUUAUCCCUCAUCAUUUUAUUUUCUUAGAUUUUUUUUAUUCAAAUUUAAUUCUUAUUCUUUUGAUUUCUGUUUUCUUAUUAUUUUCUUGGUUUUUUUAUUUUUAACCUAAACAUUUUAUUUCAUUUAAUUUCUUUAUCAAAUAAUGGUCCUCAUUCUUUUUAUUGCUAUUUUUUUAAUCUUUGUUCUUAUUUUAUUUUAUUUUUCAAUUUAAUCUCUAAUUAUUUUUUCUUUUGGUUUUUAUACCAUAUUUGAUCCUUAUUAUUUUGAUUACAAUUUUUUUUGUUUUGAAAAAAAUUAUGAUUGGAAAUUUUACUUCGUUAGUUUUUUUUGUGUUUACUUUUCUGCACGGUAAUCAUAUUCUCAUGAUCUGGAUCAUUGGUUUCGAAUAUUAGCCCAAUUUAAGUUAGGUCCUUUUUUUUGUCCUUUACUAAUUUGUUUUUUCAAUUUCAUCAUUUAACAUUGGAUUAUUGGGGCUUGAGCUUUGUUAUAUGUUCAACUUUUAUUUUUUUGAGUUUAUAUCAAUUUUAUAUCCCGGGUGGAGGGUUAGUUGAGUUAACCCAAGUUAACUCAAGGUUUUUUUUUCCUCGAAUUAUUUUUAAGAAAUUGUUUUUUUUUGUUAUUGACCCUUGAGCUUUGUGAUUCUCACUUUUUUUUUAUGUGUGGUCAUCCUAAAUGCGGGUUAAUCAAGUUAACUUGGUUUUUUUUAACGUUUCUUUUAUUUAACUUUAGUUUUUUAUUCUAGGUCCUUUUAAAAAAUAUAUAUAAUUUUUUUUUAUCCUGAUCUCAUAUUGUGGUUGGUAGGUUGGUCAAGUUAACCCAAGUUGACUUGAGUUUUUUUUUUUCAAUGUUACUUUUUCUUAAAAUUGAUUUUUUAAAAAUAUUUAUCAUUUGACAUUAGGUUAUUGGGCUUUGAGCUUUGUUAUGUUUUUUUUUUCACUUUCUUUUCUUCAGGGUAAUCUUGAUCUCAUAUCAUAUGUUGCGUGUAUAGUCAAGUUAACCCGUGUUGAUUGGGGUUAUAAUCGCCUGGACAUCUUUUAUUGAAUGAGAAAAAACUUAACCAAACCCGCAACGUGACGCCAAACAUCUACCUAUUCAUUAUUAAAAAGAGAUUUAUAGCAUAAGUGAAGCCGUGUUUGUUUUUGUGGUUGGACCAUAUUUUUUAAAAAAUUAAAUUUUUUAUUUUGCUUUCAAUUGAAUUUUUAAUAUUUUUGAAUCGUUUUAAUAUGUUUAUAUCAAAAAUAAAUUUUAAAAAAUAAAAUUAUUUUAAUGCAUUUUAAAAAAAAAUUCGCUGUUAAGAAACUUUGUAUAAUUACCAUCACCAAACACUUUCACCUUUUCCAUUUCUCAAUAAUUACUUGCCAUUUCUUGCUCGCAUCCCGUGUUGAUUAAACUAUAAGAGAUUUUUAUAAUUAUUUCUAAGAAUUAACUUGGAAUGCUACCCGCAUCAUAGCAUGGAUGCACUUAAAAACUGCUAUGCUCAUUUGAAAAAAAGAAAAAAAAAGAAAGAAAAGAAAAGUAAAUUAUACUCAAAAUCAUAGUUAAUUAACUUCGAAUCAUAGCAUGGAAGUGGAGAUGUUGCUUCUCAGAAACUUCAAUGCUUUAAUACAGACAGGCAUGGCUAGGUGGGCCUCGCCUCCCUUACCCAACCUCACCCUUUACUUUGAACUUCUUGGCCUAACUCAACUAUUAGUCAACAUUGUAUAACUAACUUUCUCGCCGGCGACACUCUAAAUCAGAGUUAUUUUAAAAUGGGGAAGUGAUUAUAUUUUAUAAUAUUUUUUUAUUUAAAAAUAAAUUAAAAUAAUUUUUUUUAUAAUUUUUUUAAAAAUAUUUUUAAUAUUAGCAUAUCAAAAACAAUUUACAAAUACAAAAAAAAAAUUAAUUUGAAAUAAAAAAAAUAUUUUUUUUUCAAAAAAGUUUUUGAAAUGUAAAAACAAAAAUGCUAUUAAUCUUCUGACAUUAGCCUCUGGUUCUCUUAUUCUAUUUUUCUUUGUUCAAGGCUCAGCUACGUUGCUAGAAUCAUCUGUGAAAUUAUGAAUUAUAUUAUGUUCAAGUUUCCUGGUCAGAUUAUGUUCCUUAAACUGUGUUUAAAAGCUUAUUGACGGUAAUGUUACUAAUGGAAGUACAGGUGAAGUGGAAUAUUUUCAUAAGAAGUCCUCGUAAAAGUACCCAUUUUAUUGAUAGUUUGAAACUAAAUCCAUUUUAUCAUCUUAUGCAAUGUCUUGCAAAAGGAAACUUACUGUACUUCCAUGGAAAUAUAUCUUGAUCUUUCUCAUGAUGAAAGACGGUGACUUGUUUCUGGUAGAAUAUGCGUAUUAGUAUUAAAGAAACAUGUCGAACUAAAAUUAAAUUUAAAUUAUUUGGUGAAAUUUUAAGAUUUAUAUUACUUUUUAGCAUAUUUUUUGAGCUUGUAAUUUUUGCACGGGUUAUUAACUUAUACUAUUAAUUAAUUUUAAUUAAAAUAAAGAAUAAGAAUUGUAAGAUUUGAAUUUGUUUGGUAAUUAAAAUUUUAAUAACAUAUUAAAAAAUUAUUUAAAUUUAAAAAUUUAAACUGUUAAAUAUUACCUUAAGAUAUUAUUUAUUUUAUUUAAUAGGGAAAACCUGUAAUAAAGAGAAUGGGUCAAGAUUCUUGUCUGUGGAUGGAAGUGGAGAUAAAGCAAUUCUGACGGAGGUAAAAGUCACCUCGGAAAGGAGGUUCUGAUGAAAGUGAUGAGUUAAGAUGUGUAUUUACCAAACUCUAGCUCUUGUUACAGUGCUUCCUUUUGUUUUGUUUUUUGUGAGUAAGAUCAAAACUCUCAUGUGGAAGGAGACAGUAGCUGCAUGUUAACGACUAUAGCAUGAUUGAAUCGUAGUUAAAUCCCAAACAAAAAUGAAGAAAUUGUUGUUUUGAUCCAUGAUAACGGAGGGAAACAAUGCUUUGAACUUACUUUAUGUUCCAUCUAUUUUACGAUUUGCUUUUCAUAAAAAGGUAAAAUGCCAGAAACAAUAUUAUAAGGCUCUGAAUUAUCCUCAUUUGAUUCUUUCUUCCUUUUGUUUUCUUACAGGGUGAAAUUCCGGAGUGCUGCUUUUUGCUUUGAGAAGUCAUUGUUUAAAGGAAAAGAUCACAAGAUAAGAAUCUUUUGCCUUGUGAAACUCCAAAUGCUGGACAGCUAGAAUUUUAAAGAGAAUGGGCCAGGAACAAAUUCUUGCCUUCUCUGUUCAAACUUCAAGUCCAGGUUAGAUUAAUUCCAAAGAGUGAGAAAUUGUUUGGUCCUUCUGUUUUUCUAUUUUCCAUAACCAAUCUUGUGUUUCCAUAAAAAUUUCCAGCUCGCUUUCAAAGUCCUCUGCAAUUCUCUUUUCCAUAACCAGUCUCGUGUUUCCUUUAAAAUUUCCUGAACAUAUUUAAAGCCCUUCUUCACUUCUCUUUUCCAUUAACAACCUUGUGUUUUCGUUAAAUUAAAUUUCCUUUCUCAUCCCCAUAACCAAUCUUGCGAUUUCAGUUGUUACCAAGACUCAGAUUUUCCAAAGCAUCACAGGCCAUGGCUGAUGCAAUUGUUUCUUCUCUUGUGAGUCCAAUCCUGGAGAACUUGAGCUUGCAGGCUCUCAAAGAGGCUGGGCUUGCUUGGGGCCUUGACACUGAGCUUGAGAAUCUCGAAAGCACCUUCGCAAUUGUUCAAGCUGUGCUCCAGGAUGCAGAGGAGAAGCAAUGGAAGAACAAGGCUUUAGAGAUUUGGUUAAGACGCCUCAAGGAUGCAGCUUAUGAUGUUGAUGAUGUACUGGAUGACUUUGCAAUUGAAGCUCGAAGGCAUCGGCUGCAAAAAGAUCUAAAAAAUCGACUACGAUCCUUCUUUUCUCUUGAUCAUAAUCCACUUAUUUUUCGAUUGAAAAUGGCGCAUAAGUUGAAAAAUGUGAGAGAGAAACUGGAUGUCAUUGCCAAUGAGAACAAAAAGUUCGAGCUAACAACACGAGUUGGGGACGUAGCAGUAGAUACCUACGAUGGGCGGCAUACAAGCAACAUCCUGAAUGAAUCAAGCUCAGUCGUGAAUGAAUCAGAAAUUUAUGGAAGAGGCAAGGAGAAAGAGGAACUAAUCAACAUCCUGCUCGCUAAUGCAGACGAUCUCCCUAUUUAUGCUAUAUGGGGAAUGGGGGGGCUCGGGAAAACAACACUUGCUCAAAUGGCCUACAAUGAAGAAAGGGUUAAGCAACAAUUCGGUUUGAGGAUAUGGGCGUGUGUCUCUACUGAUUUCGAUGUAAGAAGAAUAACAAAAGCCAUCAUAUAGUCCAUUGAGGGUGCCUCAUGUGAUCUUCAAAAAUUGGAUGACUUGCAACAACGCCUCCAACAAAAGUUAACUGGAAAGAAGUUUUUGCUUGUACUAGAUGAUGUGUGGGAUGAUUAUGAUGAUAGGUGGAAUAAAUUGAAAGAGGUAUUAAGGUCCGGAGCUAAAGGUAGUGCUGUAAUAGUAACUACGCGUAAUGAGAUGGUUACUCGUAGAAUGGCAGCAACUUUUGUCCAGCCCAUGGGGAGAUUGUCUGAAGAAGAUUCUUGGCAUUUGUUUCAACGGCUUGCAUUUGGGAUGAAAAGGACAGAGGAGCGGGCGCAACUGGAAGCCAUUGGAGUAUCAAUAGUGAAGAAGUGUGGUGGUGUUCCAUUAGCUAUAAAGGCACUCGGGAACCUAAUGCGGCUAAAAGAUAAUGAAGAUCAGUGGAUAGCUGUCAAAGAAAGUGAGAUUUGGGAUCUAAGAGAAGAAGCAAGCAAGAUUUUACCUGCUUUGAGGUUGAGUUACACUAAUCUAUCACCACAUUUGAAGCAAUGCUUUGCGUUUUGCGCAAUAUUUCCAAAAGAUCAGGUGAUGAUGAGGGAGGAGCUGAUUGCUUUGUGGAUGGCAAAUGGCUUUAUUUCUUGCAGAAGAGAAAUGAAUUUGCACGUCACGGGUAUUGAGAUAUUCAAUGAACUAGUGGGAAGGUCAUUUCUGCAAGAGGUCGAGGAUGAUGGAUUUGGCAACAUCACAUGUAAAAUGCAUGAUCUUAUGCAUGAUCUCGCACAAUCCAUUGCAGUACAAGAAUGCUAUAUGAGUACAGAAGGCGAUGGGAAGUUGGAAAUUCCUAAAACUGUCCGUCAUGUAGCUUUUUAUAACAAAUCAGUAGCUUCGUCUUCUAAAGGUCUCAAGGUCCUAUCACUUCGCUCACUUCUUUUGAGGAAUAAAUAGUAUUGGAAUGGAUGGGGAAAGAUUCGUGGUCGAAAACAUCGAGCCUUGAGUUUAAGAAAUGUCCGGGCCAAGAAAUUGCCGAAGUCAAUUUGUGAUUUGAAACAUCUAAGGUAUCUAGAUGUAUCAGGCUCCGAGUUCAAAACACUGCCUGAAAGUAUAACCUCACUCCAAAACCUCCAGACACUAGAUCUGAGUUCUUGCGGAGAACUCAUCCAAUUACCAAAAGGUAUGAAGCACAUGAAAAGUCUCGUAUAUCUUGACAUCACGGGUUGCUAUUCACUUCGAUUUAUGCCUUGUGGAAUGGGGCAAUUGAUAUGCCUGCGAAAACUUACCCUGUUCAUUGGGGGUGGGGAGAAUGGUUGUCGCAUAAGUGAGCUGGAAGGGCUGAAUAAUCUUGCUGGUGAAUGAGUAUCGCAGAUCUUGUGAAUGUUAAGAAUUUAAAAGAUGCCACAAGUGCCAAUUUGAAGUUGAAGACAGCUAUUUUAUCACUGACUUUAUCUUGGCAUGGUAAUGGAAAUUACCUUUUUAACCCUCGGUCAUUUGUGCCACCGCAACAAAGAAAGAGUGUUAUUUAGGUAAAUAACGAGGAGGUCCUUGGAGGGCUUCAACCUCAUUCAAAUCUGAAGAAGUUGAGGAUAUGUGGAUAUGGAAGUUCAAGAUUUCCUAAUUGGAUGAUGAACUUGAACAUGACGCUACCAAAUCUGGUAGAGAUGGAGCUAUCAGCAUUUCCCAACUGUGAACAACUUCCACCAUUGGGGAAACUACAGUUGCUCAAGAGUCUUAAAUUAUGGGGAAUGGAUGGUGUGAAGAGUAUUGACAGCAAUGUGUAUGGAGAUGGGCAGAAUCCAUUCCCAUCGUUGGAGACGCUGACUUUCUAUUCAAUGGAGGGAUUAGAGCAAUGGGCUGCGUGUACUUUUCCUCGCCUUCGAGAAUUGAGGGUAGCUUGUUGCCCUGUGUUGAACGAAAUACCAAUUAUACCCUCCGUCAAAUCAUUAGAGAUCCGGCGAGGUAAUGCUUCGUCGCUGAUGUCAGUUAGGAAUCUCACUUCUAUCACUUCUCUUCGUAUUAAAGGGAUUGACGAUGUGAGGGAGCUUCCCGAUGGGUUUUUGCAAAAUCAUACCCUCCUUGAAAGCCUAGAAAUUGAUGGGAUGCCAGAUCUGGAGUCUUUGUCAAAUAGGGUAUUAGAUAACCUUUCUGCUCUUAAAAGCUUGACUAUUUUGGGUUGCGGGAAACUUGAAAGCUUGCCAGAGGAAGGUCUUCGUAACCUCAAUUCCCUGGAGGUUUUAAACAUAAUGCUUUGUGGAAGAUUAAAUUGUCUGCCAAUGAAUGGGCUGUGUGGCUUAUCUUCUCUUCGCAAGUUAUAUGUUUUAGGUUGUGAUAAAUUCACAUCUCUAUCCGAGGGAGUGCGGCAUCUGACAGCGCUUGAGGAUUUGGAGCUUUAUGGAUGUCCAGAGCUGAAUUCAUUGCCAGAGAGUAUCCAACAUCUCACUUCUCUCCAAUCUCUAAUAAUUAGGGGUUGUCCAAAUUUAAAGAAAAGGUGUGAGAAAGAUUUAGGAGAGGACUGGCCUAAGAUAGCUCACAUCCCUCACAUUAGUAUCGAUUUCAAUAGAAUCAAUUAAAAUUGAUAUGCAAAAUUUGUAAUGAGAAUAAAAUAUAUUUGUUCGUAGUUUUAAUUUGUUGUAAAUGUUUAAAUAAUUUUCUCAAAUUGAUUGUUGUUUUAUUCUUCAUAUAAAUGUGUAAAAAUGAUUGGUUCAUUAUUCUUCAUAUAAAUAUAUAAUAAGUAGUUUGUUUGGUCCAAGAGAUAUAAUCCUUUUA